rnacentral:piRNA from 2 species
UGAUACUUUGGUGCUAUUUAAGAUUCAGGA